rnacentral:rRNA from 1 species
UGGGGAAUAUUGCACAAUGGGCGCAAGCCUGAUGCAGCCAUGCCGCGUGUAUGAAGAAGGCCUUCGGGUUGUAAAGUACUUUCAGUCGGGAGGAAGGUGGUAAGGUUAAUAACCUUAUCAAUUGACGUUACCGACAGAAGAAGCACCGGCUAACUCCGUGCCAGCAGCCGCGGUAAUACGGAGGGUGCAAGCGUUAAUCGGAAUUACUGGGCGUAAAGCGCACGCAGGCGGUUGAUUGAGUCAGAUGUGAAAUCCCCGGGCUUAACCCGGGAAUUGCAUCUGAUACUGGUCAGCUAGAGUCUUGUAGAGGGGGGUAGAAUUCCAUGUGUAGCGGUGAAAUGCGUAGAGAUGUGGAGGAAUACCGGUGGCGAAGGUGGCCCCCUGGACAAAGACUGACGCUCAGGUGCGAAAGCGUGGGGAGCAAACAGG